GGUGAGAUGGCCGAGCGGUCUAAGGCGCCAGACUAAGGAUCCGAACAUUCGUUGUUCACCAUUAACUGUUCUUACGGUUAUCUGGUCCUCCGGGGCGUGGGUUCGAAUCCCACUCUCAUCA
rfam:Hypholoma sublateritium FD-334 SS-4 unplaced genomic scaffold scaffold_28, whole genome shotgun sequence.